rnacentral:lncRNA from 1 species
UGAAAGAUGGCUGCUCCACUCCGGGUAUGUUUGAUGCGAGCAUACAAAACCUUUGCCGUUGCGUCCCAACCUCUACUGUAUAUAUGUAGGUUUUCUAUUUCGCUGAACCUUACAUGUCUGCAAUUGGUUGACAAAGAGCACAAUUCUGUAUAUUUCCUAAUGCAAAUAACUAAAAGCAGGAAUGGAUAAAAUGUUGCCUGGCGAUCGGCGGUGGAGGGCCAACGGGAGCGGGAACGAAGUUCACAGGCGGUGGUGCCAUGACCCUCUUCGAGCCAGGACGGCCCAUCCUGGGUCCAAUCGGCAUGAGUGCUAAGACCCGAUUUCUCUUCUAACACGACUCAUGGUUCAGAACGCAAGGACGUAUAUUGACUGAUCUGACUAUUUUCAUUUUCAUUGGCGCCAAGUAAACCAUGGUGAUAGGAAAAAGGAAGUGAUUGAAAGAAGGAGAUUGAUCAACGUUUGAUUGAAAGAAGGAAGGAGAUUUAUCACCGUCAUGAAUGAAUUGAUUGCCAUGCAUGAAUUGAUUGCGUUUCGAUUGAUUGUUGAUUGAUUCCGCUUGGUUGCCUUAUGUGAAUUAUUUCUUUACCAAAG